GUCCCGUCGGCAGUUAGCAAUAACGAGAUCCAGAGCAGGCAUAAGACCAGAGCGGGGUGUCCAUGAAGAGGAGGAGGGUUGAAGACCGGAGAAGGGGUCAUCGGUGGGAGUGAAAGAGUCCUUGCCGAAGAAGUAGGCUCGGAGACGGAGACGGCGGAAGAAGAGUUACGCAUCAUGGCGAACGCGGAGCUCGAUGAGAGCAGAGGAAGACCAUUUCCCCACCACCAGCACCCAGAAGAGCAGCCCGUCGUCCUUUCCCAAACUCCAGGCAAUUAUUUCCCUUUGUGCCUAUCCAGUUCCUUUCUGAAAAUGGUUUCUUACCACCCUGACAGCUGAUCAUUUCAAAAUUGUACUUUGAGCUGGAUGUUGAAGCUGGAGUUUUAAAGUCAAAUGGAAUCAACCCACCGAAUGAAUCAUGACUGCAAUGCACAAAGAGUUUCAGGAACAUAUGAAUAUAGGACGUGGAAGCAAACGUAGGCCAUUCAGCCCAUCAUCCCUCUUCAAUCAUUCAAUAAUGUCAUGGCUGGUCUUUUUCCUCAGCACCAUCAUUCUGAACAAACCCAAUUCCCAUAAUAAAUAAAAACAGAUCAAGUCUUGAACAUGUUCAGCGACUGGGUUUCUGCAAUGAUUAAAUAACUUUGGGGAGAAGAAAUUGCCGGACCCGGGAGUGGAG